UGGGGAAUUUUGGACAAUGGGCGAAAGCCUGAUCCAGCAAUGCCGCGUGUGUGAAGAAGGCCUUCGGGUUGUAAAGCACUUUUGUCCGGAAAGAAAUCCUUGGCUCUAAUACAGUCGGGGGAUGACGGUACCGGAAGAAUAAGCACCGGCUAACUACGUGCCAGCAGCCGCGGUAAUACGUAGGGUGCAAGCGUUAAUCGGAAUUACUGGGCGUAAAGCGUGCGCAGGCGGUUUGCUAAGACCGAUGUGAAAUCCCCGGGCUCAACCUGGGAACUGCAUUGGUGACUGGCAGGCUAGAGUAUGGCAGAGGGGGGUAGAAUUCCACGUGUAGCAGUGAAAUGCGUAGAGAUGUGGAGGAAUACCGAUGGCGAAGGCAGCCCCCUGGGCCAAAUACUGACGCUCAUGCACGAAAGCGUGGGGGAGCAAACAGGAUUAGAUACCCUGGUAGUCCACGCCCUAAACGAUGUCAACUAGUUGUUGGGGAUUCAUUUCCUUAGUAACGUAGCUAACGCGUGAAGUUGACCGCCUGGGGAGUACGGUCGCAA
rnacentral:rRNA from 1 species